rnacentral:lncRNA from 1 species
AAAUGACUUGGAAGAGCAGUUUCUCUGAGCCAGGAUACUAAAGUCCGUGUUUAGGAAAGAGCCACAUUGUAUGUUUACCCUACCACAAAGAUACAGAAUUCUGGAGGAAAGUGGCUCUGGGAAUUGAACAGUGGCUCAGUGAUGUUGGGGCCACCAAGUCUGCAAUUCUCCCGACCUGUUCUUCACGGUUGUAAGAUGACUGCUGCAAUUCUCGGCAUCAUGUGCAUGUUAAUGUCAGGAGGAAGAGAGGAAGAGGGAGCACUGGGAUGUUACACUCAUUUUGUCAGGAAAAGCAAAGCCUUUCCAGACAGCCCCGAAACUUGCUUACCUCUCAUUGGCCAGCACCAUCACUUGACCACUUGUCCACUCCUAGCUGCAAGGAAAGUGGCAAAGUAGAAGGUAUUUGAGAAUGUCUGCUGGGUUAGCCAAAACAAUAGUGACUUCUACACCCAAUUUUCUGGGCACUGCAUAAGUAUCCUUGAUUCCUAUGUGAUCAGAGGGAGAGCAAACCUCAAUAAUGAAACAGAUUCAAUUUCCAUCACCCAGUGAGAUACCAUGGG